ACUCCCGACACGUUCAUUAAUAUGAGACAGCUGGAGAUCAAAUUUGAAUAUUUGUCACGCCCUGGCCAUAGAGAGGUUUUUAUUCUCUAUUUUGGUUAGGCCAGGGUGUGACUAGGGUGGGCAUUCUAUGUCCUUUUUUCUAUGUUUUGGUAUUUCUUUGUUUUGGCCGGGUAUGGUUCUCAAUCAGGGACAGCUGUCUAUCGUUGUCUCUGAUUGGGAACCAUACUUAGGUAGCCUUUUCCCACAGGGUUGGUGUGGGUAGUUGUUUUCUGUUUGGUGUGUUCACCUGACAGAGCUGUUGCGUUUUGUUCCACUUUGUUUUUUUUGUUUCAGUGUUCAGUUAUUAAUAAACAUCAUGAACACGUACCACGCUGCGCUUUGAUCUACUCCUUGCAACAACCGUUACAAUAUUGAAACAAUGUUGCAAAUGUCAGAGAGACAGACAGCAAGGUUUAUACAAAUCUCUGAUGUUGAAAAUGAAAUGUUAGUCUAAAAGAAAUAUGAGAUAAUGUCUACAUGCUUUUUAUUGUGGAGAUCAAGUUUAUAAAUUGCCUGGCUGGGCUGAUGAGACAGUGGAUUGAGCAGUCAGAUGGAACAGAGCAAAUAAGCAUUUCAACAUCAUAGAUUUAGCCAGUGGUAACUUCUGGAAUAGACACUGGCUGGAAUGCGCUUUUAACCCACCCAUUGUAAAACAAGGUAAUAAGGAAUGUGUCACCCAGUUCCUAAGUCCCAUCGCUACAGGUCAAUAGCAGAAAAAGAUGGACAGGAUCUCUUAUUGGGCUGUGUCUAAAAACAGUACUAGCUGUCAAAAUCCUUGCUUCCUAUGUCAUUGUUUCCUCAGUUCCCCUCAAAGUGCACUGGCGGAGAGGAGAGGGUCCAAGGUCCUUCCCAUGGUUCUCUUCCUCCAAUGAGAUUCUUUAUAAUUUUUUUUAUUUAUUUCACCUUCAUUUAACCAGGUAGGCCAGUUGAGAACAAGUUCUCAUUUACAACUGCGACCUGGCCAAGAUAAAGCAAAGCUGAAACGACUGUCGUAGAGAGGGGACCAAGAUGCAGCGUGGCACGUGUUCAUGAUUAUUUAUUUGAAUCAAACAAACACUCGAACAAAAAUAACAAAGGGGAAACGAAAGCGCACAGUUCUGUCAGGUACAGAAGCACAAAACAGAAAACAACUACCCACAAACACAGGUGGGAAAAGGCUGCCUAAGUAUGAUUCCUAAUCAGAGACAACGAUAGACAGCUGCCUCUGAUUAGGAACCAUACUCGGCCCAAAACAAAGAAAUACAAAACAUAGAAUGCCCACCCCACACCCUUACCUAACAAAAUAGAGAAAUAAACCGUCUCUCUCAGGUCAGGGCGUGACAGUAACCCCCCCAAAGGUGCGGACUCCCGGCCGCAAACCUGAACCUAUAGGGGAAGGUCCGGGUGGGCAUCUAUUCUUGGCGGAGGCUCUGGUUCGGGGCGUAGCCCCCACUCUGCCCGCUGAUCCCCCCGCUUCUGUGUCGCCGGAGGAACCAGACCGUGGAUCAUCGCCAGAGGCUCUGAACUGCCGACCGCCGCUGAAGACUCUGGACUGCAGGCCGCCGCUGAAGACUCUGGGCUGCAGGCCGCCGCUGAAGAAUAUGGGCUGCCGACCGCCGCUGAAGACUCUGGGCUGCAGACCGCUGCUGAAGACUGGGCUGCAGACCGCCACUGAAGACUCUGGGCUGCAGGCUGUCUCAGGAGGUUCCGGACUGUAGGCUGUCUCAGGAGGUUCCGUACUGUAGGCUGUCUUAGGAGGUUCCGUACUGUAGGCUGUCUUAGGAGGUUCCGUACUGUAGGCCGUCUCAUCAGGUUCUGUACUGGGGACCGUUGCUACAGGCUCCAAGCCAUGGAUCAUCACUGGAGGCUUUGUGCCAUGGAUCAUCACUGGAGGCUCCGGGCCAUGGAUUAUCACUGGAGGCUUCGUGCCAUGGAUCAUCCCUACAGGCUCCGGGCCAUGGAUCAUCCCUACAGGCUUCUUGCCAUGGAUUAUCACUUGAGGCUCCGGGCCAUGGAUUAUCACGGGAGGCUUUGUGCCAUGGAUCAUCCCUACAGGCUCCCGGCCAUGGAUCAUCACUGGAGGCUUCGUGCCAUGGAUGAUCACUGGAGGCUUCGGACCAUGGAUCAUCACUGGAGGCUUCUUACGUGUAGCCGGAACGGGUCUCACCGGACUGAGGAGACGUACUGACAGCCUGGUACGUGGAGCAGGCACAGGGCAUACCAGGCUGAAUAGACUCACUGGAGGGAGAGUGCGAGGAGCAGGCACAGGCUCACCACGAUAAGCACGGGGAGUUGGCUCAGGUCUCAACCCUGACUCCGCC
rnacentral:lncRNA from 1 species